rnacentral:lncRNA from 1 species
GGGAGUGAGCUGUAAUGACGGAGCACACAAACGCAUUGGGCGCCCUCAGACCUGAACACACAGGUUAGCACCACCUGCCUGGCUGACCCGGCUCACAGUUGAGAAUAACUCAUCCAGGGUUAUUGAAUGGUAGAGGAUCUUUCAAAAUCAACAGCUAGAAAGUCGAGGACCCUUCAUGCCACACUAAGAAGUUCCAUGCUAGGCAAAGAAGAAUGACAAGGUAUUUCAACAGGUGAAUGAUGAGCCACCGACUGCUUCUCUCCCCUGAACACAUGCUGUCCUCAUCCCUUGCAGUGCUGGUGCAGAAGGGUUCUCUUUCACCAGAGAUGAUAAGAUUUUGGAAGCAUGGAUACGUUGACUGGACAGAUCCCCACAGAGAAUCCAGAAACAAAACUGAGACUGAAGACCACAGAUCAGAUGCUCAAAAAGACAGAGGUCUGGAGUAAGAGGCAUCAAAUGAUAAUUCAAGGUAAAUAUACAGAUUUUUUAGGGAAAAACUUACAUCCUUCAGUCAAUUAAGCAUGCAAAAGAAAAAGUAUACAGAAUGG